rnacentral:lncRNA from 1 species
CUGGCAAUGAAACAAGAGCAAUGUUAAGUACUGUGUGGAUGGAGAAAUUACAAUUUGGAGCAACUAAAUAGCAUCAAAGAUUCUCGUUCUUCAUUUGCUCUUUGCCUCUCGUUGGUAUAUACUGUUGCCCUGUCACCUGCUAAAUGAGAAUAUGGGAUGCUUCGAGAUCCACAAGAUAUAGGCAUGCAUAAUCUCAGUAGUUGAGGAAAGCAUAAGGCAAAAGAUAGAAGACGCCCUAAGUUUUAGGUUUAGACCCAAUUCAGUGAAAAACACCCGAUUUUGUUAACUUCCAUCUGAGUUCCAAGAGUCAAAACAGUGAGGUUCUUUUUCUCUAUAUGUUAGAGAGGCCUCUAUAUGUUAGAGAGACCCCCAGCUUUUGUACCUUUCUAUUUGUUGUCAUCGCUUUCCUCACAAAUCCUCAUAUAGUAUAUGCAGCCUAUGUUUUUGUUGAUCAACAAAACUGAAAAGAUAGAUUUUUCUUUUUUUCUAGCUGGGGCAUCUCUAUUGAGAAUCUCUUCAGUCACCCUAGCUUUUUAGCAAAAUGUAAAAGGUACAACACAAGGAGGCAAACAAUCUUGUACGAGUGGCUUAAUUGAGAGAAAAUCUCACCUCUGCAACUGUUUCAAGUACAGAGCUGGCACUCACUCAAAAAGGAUACAACCAAUCUUGUACGAGCUGAGAUAUCUCACCUUUGCAAAUGUUUCUAAGGACUAAGCUGUGAGUUCCAAAAUUAUACAGCCUGCUAUUGCUCAAAAAGAUUACUUAAUUCACUAUUGUGUCAACAUCUUGUCUCACAAGAAAACCGAAAAAAUUGUUGCUAGUUAUUAUCUGCCAUUGAAAUUCUUUUUUUUUUUUUUUUGGUAGGAAUGAAAUGAGUUCAAAUGGAUAGGUAGGAUCAUAUAGCAGACACCAACGCGGAAUUGAGGCGUAUUCAUCAAUGUCAUACUGCAGCACUCCCAGACUGAGGAGGUCGUUUAAACUAGCCUACUGGAUCAUGGAUGAGAUGAGCUCAGCUUGUAUAUUUUUGAACAUCAAACCUUCCUGUGACUUCUCACUCUCACCAUAAGUUGAGUUAUUAUACAAAAACACUUCACGCUUCCACAGCAGAGUAUCUUCAUAAGGAUGUGUGGGGAUGAAGUCUUAAUUUAAUCCAACUAAAGUUGAUAUAAGUGAAUCCUUGCAAUAUUGAGGGCAAAUUAAAUUAAGCACAUAAGAAGCUUUCGGACUAGGAAUACCAAAAGAUUAC